GCGCGGGUGGCGAAAUGGCAGACGCACUACCUUGAGGUGGUAGCGCCGUAAGGCGUGCAGGUUCGACUCCUGUCCCGCGCA
rnacentral:tRNA from 1 species